UUGACCAGAAUUCUCAUCCGAUCCUCCUGAGGUAGUAAAUUAUGUAGUGUUACAACUCUGACUUAAAACCAUUUGUUUUUUGUCUUUGCUCUCCAUUGCAGUUUUAUGAUUUUAGAACAUAGGUUUUAUGAUUGUUAGUGCUGGGCAACAAAAAGGAGUCCAGAGGAACGGGAGGAAAAACAACAAUAGCAAUGAUGUGAAUGCAAAACAUGAACCAGACUAAGCAGAGCAGAGGGCGGCGUGGAGCGGGAAGCAGAGACAGAAGCUUGUGAUAUUUCAGUGAUUGCUGGGAGUUAUUCAUCACCGCAUUUCCUGAGGGUCCGAUAAGUAGAGAAAUGCACCAAGAAGCAAAGUGGACCAAG
rnacentral:lncRNA from 1 species